GUGAGGAAUAUUGGACAAUGGGCGCGAGCCUGAUCCAGCCAUGCCGCGUGCAGGAAGACGCAUCUAUGGUGUGUAAACUGCUUUUGUACGGGAAGAAACACUCCCUCGUGAGGGAGCUUGACGGUACCGUAAGAAUAAGGAUCGGCUAACUCCGUGCCAGCAGCCGCGGUAAUACGGAGGAUCCAAGCGUUAUCCGGAAUCAUUGGGUUUAAAGGGUCCGUAGGCGGUUUAAUAAGUCAGUGGUGAAAGCCCAUCGCUCAACGAUGGAACGGCCAUUGAUACUGUUAGACUUGAAUUACAAGGAAGUAACUAGAAUAUGUAGUGUAGCGGUGAAAUGCUUAGAUAUUACAUGGAAUACCAAUUGCGAAGGCAGGUUACUACUUGUGGAUUGACGCUGAUGGACGAAAGCGUGGGGAGCGAACAGGAUUAGAUACCCUGGUAGUCC
rnacentral:rRNA from 1 species